UACGUAGGGGGCUAGCGUUGUCCGGAAUCAUUGGGCGUAAAGAGCGUGUAGGCGGUUCGGUAAGUCGGCUGUGAAAGUCCAGGGCUCAACCCUGGGAUGCCGGUCGAUACUGCCGGACUAGAGUUCGGAAGAGGCGAGUGGAAUUCCCGGUGUAGCGGUGAAAUGUGUAGAGAUCGGGGAGGAACGACCGGUGGCGAAGGCGGGUCUCUGGGCAUCUCCUGGAUGCUGAGGCGCG
rnacentral:rRNA from 1 species